rnacentral:rRNA from 1 species
AGAAUCAACGCUGGCGGCGUGCCUAACACAUGCAAGUCGAACGAGAAAGGGUAGCAAUACCUGAGUAAAGUGGCGCACGGGUGAGUAACACGUGACUAACCUACCUUUUAGUGGGGGAUAACCUAGGGAAACCUGGGCUAAUACCGCAUAAUACCUACGGGUCAAAGCAGCAAUGCGUUGGAAGAGGGGGUCGCGGCCGAUUAGCUAGUUGGCGGGGUAAUGGCCCACCAAGGCAGUGAUCGGUAU